rnacentral:rRNA from 1 species
AACGAACGCUGGCGGCGUGCCUAACACAUGCAAGUCGAGCGCGAAUGGAGCAAUCCUAGUAGAGCGGCGCACGGGUGCGUAACACGUGGGUAAUCUGCCCUGGAGACCGGGAUAACCUGCCGAAAGGCAAGCUAAUACCGGAUAAGCUCACGGCCCCUUCGGGGGCUGAGAGAAAAGGAGGCCUCUGUAUACAAGCUUCCACUCGAGGAUGAGGCCGCGGCCCACCAGCUAGUUGGCGGGGUAAUGGCCCACCAAGGCAACGACGGGUAGCUGGUCUGAGAGGACGAUCAGCCACACUGGAACUGAGACACGGUCCAGACUCCUACGGGAGGCAGCAGUGGGGAAUUUUGCGCAAUGGGCGAAAGCCUGACGCAGCAACGCCGCGUGUGUGAUGAAGGUCUUCGGAUUGUAAAGCACUUUCGACCGGGACGAAAACCCCCCAGCUAACAUCUGGGGGCUUGACGGUACCGGGAGAAGAAGCACCGGCUAACUCUGUGCCAGCCGCCGCUGUAAGAC